UGAGCGAACCUAAACACGAUGCUUGCAGUUGAAGCUUAUAGUAGUGACGUGAAUAUUGACUGGGAGGGAGUAAGACAGAUAAAACCGCUUAUGGAUUAUACACGACCUGUCGUGACGGAAUCACUGGAAAUUCUGAAGAGGUUAGGUAGGGAAGAUAUUAUUAAUGAUAGCGUAGCAUGGGACCCUCCCCAAGCAUGGAAGUAUGUUGUCGAACUAUGGUCGGACACGCAAUAUUACUCCUAACGGAAGACCGGUAGAAAAUGAAAUGAGCAUAAGGAGUUCCUCGGCAUAGCCGGAACCAGGUUUGCG
rnacentral:lncRNA from 1 species